CCUCACUGCCUCUUACCUGUAGACAGGGAGGGGGGACACUAGGUUCCCAGGUGGUCCAGUUGGAGGCACAGCAGUUGGUUCAGUCUUCUUCUUUACCCUCAGGGCUCUACUUCUGUCACGAGCCCGGCAUGCUUUGCGUGCCGAGGAGCGUUGCCGUGGAAACCCGAACCACCGCUUUACAGCCGCUCGCGAGAGUGCCGGAGCAGGAGGUGAGUGUGAAACCAGC